rnacentral:rRNA from 1 species
UACAGAGGGUGCAAGCGUUGUUCGGAAUUAUUGGGCGUAAAGAGCUCGUAGGCGGUUUGUCGCGUCUGCUGUGAAAGUUCGGGGCUCAACCCCGGAACUGCAGUGGGUACGGGCAGACUAGAGUGCGGUAGAGGAGACUGGAAUUCCUGGUGUAGCGGUGGAAUGCGCAGAUAUCAGGAGGAACACCAGUGGCGAAGGCGGGUCUCUGGGCCGCAACUGACGCUGAGGAGCGAAAGCGUGGGGAGCGAGCAGG